AAAGUCAGUCGGACAGUCGCGCUUUUUAUAAGUGAGGAAAGUCCGGGCUUUAUAGAGCAAGAUGCCAGAUAACGUCUGGGGGGCGUGAGCCUACGGAAAGUGCAACAGAAAGUAUACCGCCUUUGUUUAAAAGGUAAGGGUGAAAAGGUGCGGUAAGAGCGCACCGCAUUGGUGGCAACACUCAAUGGCAUUGUAAACCCCAUCUAAAGCAAGACCAAAUAGCGCUACUAAGAUGUUGCUCGCAUUGUAGCAGGGUAGGUCGCUUGAGCUUGUUGGCAACAGCAAGUCUAGAUAAAUGACUGUCUAUUACAGAACCCGGCUUAUAGACUGACUUUGUAU
rnacentral:RNase_P_RNA from 2 species